AAAUGAGUAUUGAUCCGCGGAUGUCCGAAUGGGGCAACCCACCUAGAGUCAUGUCUAGGUAUCCUGUACUGAAUACAUAGGUGCAGGAGGUGAACCGCCUGAACUGAAACAUCUAAGUAGGGCGAGGAAGAGAAAUCAAACGAGAUUCCGAAAGUAGUGGCGAGCGAAAUCGGAAGAGGCCAAACCAGGGGUAGAAAUACCCUUGGGGUUGAGGACUGCAUUUAGGAUUGUGCGAGUUUAAGAGAACGGCAUGGGAAGGCCGGCCAGAGAGGGUGAGAGCCCCGUAUCUGAAAAGCGAGCGCACCGAGCAGGAUCCAGAGUACCGCGGGACACGAGGAAUCCCGUGGGAAGCCGGGGGGACCACCCUCCAAGCCUAAAUACUACCUGGUGACCGAUAGCGUAUAGUACUGUGAAGGAAAGGUGAAAAGAACCCCGGGAGGGGAGUGAAAUAGAACCUGAAACCCUGUGCCUACAAGCACAUAGAGCACGUCAAAGUGUGAUAUGGUACUU
rnacentral:rRNA from 1 species